GCAAGUCGGUACGGGUAGUUUUUUAACUCAAGUGGCGGACGGGUGAGUAACACGUGAGAAUUUACCUUUAGGAGGGGAUAACAUUGGAAACGAUUGCUAAUACCCAUAUGCUUUUUUUAAGUGAAACGGAUUUAUUCGCCUAAAGAAAAGUUCGCGGCUGAUUAGCUAGUUGGUAAGGUAAUGGCUUACCAAGGCGACGAUCAGUAUCUGGUUUGAGAGGAUGAUCAGACACACUGGAACUGAGACACGGUCCAGACUCCUACGGGAGGCAGCAGUGGGGAAUUUUCCGCAAUGGGCGAAAGCCUGACGGAGCAAUACCGCGUGAGGGAAGAAAGCCUACUGGGUUGUAAACCUCUUUUUCAGGGAGGAAAAAAAUGACGUGUACCUGAAGAAUAAGCAUCGGCUAACUCCGUG
rnacentral:rRNA from 1 species